CCCACGCGGAGAGCGGCACUGAUCCUUGAAUUUGGAGACAAGGAACCUUCCAUAGACCACGCCAACCUUGCCAAAUGUCUGAAACUUCUUCCUCCAUGAAACUCACCCACCCAGUAAGGAAUGCCCAAAGAAUCACAAGACUGUGUGAUAGAAGAGCAGAAACACGUUUAGAAACAAUACCGGUGAGGCUGUAAGAAGCUGCCGCUUAAACGCAGAACAGCCUUUGCUAAGGAGCACCUCUGGUCGUCUGACUACUAAUGGUGAGAAUGAAGCCGCAUGGACGGCUGAUCUGCGGAGGCAGACUAGUGAGCUUGUGCCUUCCCUUCAGUGGCUGAUUUUGCCUCCUGGUCUCUAGAGGUUGCAUCUUGCUGAGUCCCGAUCUGGUACCCAUAGGGACCUUCGGCCGGUUCUUCUUGUAGUCCCCCCGAACACCAGCUACCCC
rnacentral:lncRNA from 1 species